GACGAACGCUGGCGGCGUGCUUAACACAUGCAAGUCGAACGGUGAAGCUCCAGCUUGCUGGAGUGGAUCAGUGGCGAACGGGUGAGUAACACGUGAGCAACCUGCCCCUGACUCUGGAAUAAGCGCUGGAAACGGCGUCUAAUACUGGAUACGAGAAGGGUCCGCAUGGGCACUUUCUGGAAAGUUUGUCGGUUGGGGAUGGGCUCGCGGCCUAUCAGCUUGUUGGUGAGGUAAUGGCUCACCAAGGCGACGACGGGUAGCCGGCCUGAGAGGGCGAACGGCCACACUGGGACUGAGACACGGCCCAGACGCCUACGGGAGGCAGCAGUGGGGAAUAUUGCACAAUGGGCGAAAGCCUGAUGCAGCGACGCCGCGUGAGGGAUGACGGCCUUCGGGGUGUAAACCUCUUUCAGCAGGGAAGAAGCGAAAGUGACGUUACCUGCAGAAGAAGCACCGGCUAACUACGUG
rnacentral:rRNA from 1 species